rnacentral:rRNA from 1 species
UGGGGAAUAUUGCGCAAUGGGGGGAACCCUGACGCAGCAACGCCGCGUGAAGGAAGAAGGAUUUCGGUUCGUAAACUUCUAUCAGCAGGGACGAAUAAUGACCGAUCUGACUAAGAAGCCCCGGCAAACUACGUGCCAGCAGCCGCGGUAAUACGUAGGGGGCAAGCGUUAUCCGGAAUUACUGGGUGUAAAGGGUGAGUAGGCGGUUUAACAAGUCAUGUGUGAAAAUUAGUUGCUUAACAACUAACGUGCACAAGAAACUGUUGAACUAGAGUACAGAAGAGGUAAGCGGAAUUCCUAGUGUAGCGGUGAAAUGCGUAGAUAUUAGGAAGAACACCGGUGGCGAAGGCGGCUUACUGGGCUGAAACUGACGCUGAGUCACGAAAGCGUGGGGAGCAAACA